rnacentral:lncRNA from 1 species
AGAAGAUUGAACAUCACAAAACAGCUCAAAAUUAGAAGCUCACGAGUCAGACACCCAAAGUUCGCCAGACAGCGACUCACACACACAAGAAAGAAAACAAAUAUCUUGGUAUAAGGGCUGUUGCUAACAUGAGAAACAAGGAUCAAAAUUAUGCAAAGCUUAGUUCACGCAGCAACGACAUUCACCGAAUGUAAAAGUAAAGCCAAAAUUGAUUUAAUCAUGUAAAAGGAGUCUCAGAUUUGUCUUUUUCAAGCAGAAGAUUGAAUAUCACAAAAGAGCUCAAAAUCAGAACCUCAUGAGUCAUGCACUCAAAGUGAACUAAAGCCGACCUUGAUUUUAUCAUAUAAAAGGAGGCUCAGGUUCGCCUUUUUCAAGCAGAAGAUUGAACAUCACAAAACAGCUCAAAAUUAGAAGCUCACGAGUCACACACCCAAAGUUCGCCAGACAGCCACUCACACACACAAGAAAGAAAACAAAUAUAUUGGUAUAAGGGCUGUUGCUAACAUGAGAAACAAGGAUCAAAAUUAUGCAAAGCUUAGUUCACGCAGCAACGACAUUCACCGAAUGUAAAAGUAAAGCCAAAAUUGAUUUAAUCAUGUAAAAGGAGUCUCAGAUUUGUCUUUUUCAAGCAGAAGAUUGAAUAUCACAAAAGUGCUCAAAACCAAAAGCUCACGAGUGACCCACCCAAAGUAAACUAAAGCCGACAUUGAUUUUAGCAUAUAAAAAGAGGCUCAGAUUCGCCUUUCUCAAGCAAAAAAUUGAAUAUCACAAAACAGCUCAAAAUUAGAGGCUCACGAGUCACACACCCAAAGUUCGCCAGACAGCCACUCUCACACACACAAGAAAGAAAGCAAAUUUAUUGGUAUAAGGGCUGUUGCCAGCAUGAGAAACAAGGAUCAAAAUUAUGCCAAGCUUUGUUCACAUACCAACAACAUUCAACGAAUGUAAUGCUAAAGCCGACAUUGAUUUAAGCAUAUAAAAGGAGGCUCAAAUUCUCCUUUUUAAGCCAGAAGAUUGAACAUCACAAAACAGCUCAAAAUCAUCAGGUCACGAGUCACCCACUCAAAGUAAACAAAACCCGACCUUGAUUUAAGCAUAUAAAAGGAGGCUCAGAUUCCCCUUUUUCAAGCGGAAGAUUGAACAUCACAAAAGAGCUCAAAAUCAGAAGCACACAAGUCACACACCAAAAGUUCGCUUGACAGCCACUCACACACACGAGAAAGCAAAUAUAUUGGUAUAAGGGUUUUUGCCAGCAUGAUAAACAAGGAGGCAAGAUCAUAUGUAAUACUAACAACAUACUUCAUGGUACAUUGAUGAUGAACAAUAAUAACGACGAUCCUAACACUUUAUUGUGCUUCAUGCCAAAUUAUGUACACACAAGGAUCAUAUGUAACGUAUCGUGAGAAACAGCCACUAACACUUUCUUCACCAUAAGUACAUACCAGGAUCAGCAUUCCGCUUUGCUAGCAAACGUAGCUCUCCAGCAGCUGCUCUUUGUUGUUCUGGAUUCCCAUUUGCCAAUUUCUCUAAUAAGGCAACAAUAGCAAUUCGAUCACAAUCUGAAAAACUGGUUCCAAUUUUUUUUUUUCUAUAACCUCCUUGUUGUUUAGGCAGCUCAACACCAUUGCUUUCACACCACAAUGCNNNNN